rnacentral:SRP_RNA from 1 species
GCUGGGCGCGGUGGCUCACGCCUGUAAUCCUAGCACUUUGGGAGGCUGAGGCAGGUGGAUCACCUGAGGUCAGGAGCUUGAGAUCAGCCUGGCCAAAAUGGCGAAACCCUGUCUCUU